rnacentral:rRNA from 1 species
AUUGAACGCUGGCGGCAGGCCUAACACAUGCAAGUCGAACGGAGUGGCGAACGGGUGAGUAAUGUAUCGGAACGUGCCCAGUAGCGGGGGAUAACUACGCGAAAGCGUAGCUAAUACCGCAUACUAUUGGAGCGGCCGCUAUCGGAUUAGCUAGUUGGUGGGGUAACGGCUCACCAAGGCGACGAUCCGUAGCUGGUUUGAGAGGACGACCAGCCACACUGGGACUGAGACACGGCCCAGACUCCUACGGGAGGCAGCAGUGGGGAAUUUUGGACAAUGGGGGAAACCCUGAUCCAGCCAGCCGGCGUGUGCGAUGAAGGCCUUCGGGUUGUAAAGUACUUUCAGCGGGGAGGCGUUACUCGCAGAAGAAGCACCGGCUAACUCCGUGCCAGCAGCCGCGGUAAUUC